AUGUUUGUAACACAUCAUCACUUUCUUUGUCCUGUGAUUCGGUAUAUACAUGUAAAUGUUUCUCUGCUUCUAUCAUUGGUUUAUCUCUAGCUAUUAUAUGUUCGUAACUAUUAUAUGCAUCUGACUUGAAGUUUCUAUCAUUAUAGGCAGGCCAAGAAUCCUUCAGAUCCAUUACAAGAUCCUAUUACAGAGGAGCUGCAGGCGCACUAUUAGUCUAUGAUAUCACCAGGAGGGAGACUUUUAAUCAUCUGGCAGGCCAACAUAUCACCUUCCAAUUUCAGAAGUUUCAUGUUUUGUAAUCAAAUGUUGAUGUACAUUGUUUGAAUGUUAGUUCGGUACGAUAUUUUCUGAGUUGAAAUGUUGGUAGUGUGGAUUUAAUACUUUGUAGUUUUUAUACUAUACUGAUGUAUGUUGGCACUUAUCAUUAUGGUUGAUUAUGCUCAACAUAAUCACUUUUA